AGAGUUUGAUCCUGGCUCAGGACGAACGCUGGCGGCGUGCUUAACACAUGCAAGUCGAACGGUGAAGUCCCUUCGGGGGCGGAUCAGUGGCGAACGGGUGAGUAACACGUGGGCAAUCUGCCCCUCACUGUGGGAUAACUCCGGGAAACCGGGGCUAAUACCGCAUAUGAAGCCUGGCGGCAUCGCCGGGUUUGGAAAGUUUUUCGGUGAGGGAUGAGCCCGCGGCCUAUCAGCUUGUUGGUGAGGUAAUGGCUCACCAAGGCGACGACGGGUAGCCGGCCUGAGAGGGCGACCGGCCACACUGGGACUGAGACACGGCCCAGACUCCUACGGGAGGCAGCAGUGGGGAAUAUUGGGCAAUGGGCGAAAGCCUGACCCAGCGGCGCCGCGUGC
rnacentral:rRNA from 1 species